AUAUUUGAUCUAUGAUCAUUGAGAUCAAGGUUUGAGAUCGACACUUACUCAAGAAUUUUUCUAAAUUGGUGGAGAUUUUGGGGCUAGCUCCUGCUCCACCACGGGUUGAUCCGGUAUUGCAAUUUGCAGUACCACCGGGAUCAGCCCACAUAAU
rfam:Acyrthosiphon pisum strain LSR1 Contig1005069, whole genome shotgun sequence.